UCCCAGCUGCAGUGUACAAUUGUAAAUGUACUGUAUUACUGUUCAGCUUCUUAUUUUAUUCAUUUUUCAGUUUUGUAGUGGCCAUGGAAAUGCUACAGUAUGGCGUUCUACUGAUGAUUAUUUCAUGUAUCAGCGGUCAGUCAUUGACGUCCUCUAAUUCUGUAGUGAAAAAACCUGGAGAAUCAGUCACUUUGUCCUGCACUGUGUCUGAAUUCUCAAUGAGCAGCUACUGGAUGCACUGGAUCCGUCAGAAACCAGGGAGAGGACUAGAGUGGAUUGGGUUCAUUGACGCUGGCACUGACAAAUAUUACUCUAAAAACAUUGAGGGACGGUUCACCAUUUCCAGAGACAACAAUAAAAUGCAGCUGUACCUUCAGAUGAACAGUCUUAAAAUUGAAGAUACUGCUGUUUACUACUGUGCAAGAUAUCACUGUGACGCUGCUUUUGACUACUGGGGAAAAGGCACGUCGGUCACAGUGACAUCUGCUCAAACAACUGCGCCUCGUUCACUCUUUGCCAUGGCUCAGUGUGGUUAUGAUUCCGAUGGGUUUCUCACUGUCGGCUGCAUAGCAGCAGGUUUCUCGCCUGCUGACUCACUCACUUUCGAAUGGACGGAUCCUGAUGGGAAAAAGAUGAAUGAUUUCGUAAAGUAUCCAGCUACCGGACAAGCUGGAGCCUACACCUCAAUCAGCCACAUGCGCCUGAAUAAAAUCGAUUGGGAGGCUAAAAAAGGUUACAAAUGUGUAGCGGGAAAUUCUGCAAACAAGAUAACAGCUUCUGUGGCUCCACCAACCCCACCGCCAGAUCAGCGUGCAUCUGUGUACUUAACGGCUCCUACAAAAAUGGAGCUGGACAAUGGAACAGCUACCUUCAUCUGCUUAGCCAAGCAGUUUUCGCCUAAAAAACACUCGUUUAAGUGGUUUCAGGAUGACAAGGAGGUGAAAAACGGGGUAACUGACAAAUGUCUAGAUGAGAAGAAAAGCAGCAUAACUGAAUAUAGUGCCACAAGCAUUUUACAAAUCAGUGCCGACGAAUGGAAGAAACCAAACACCAAAAUUAAGUGUGAGUUCGAGCACAAGGCUGGGAAUGAAAUCAGAGAGGCUGAAUACAUGGUCACCGAUAUAGAGGAUGUCAGAGUUAAUAUAGACAUAAUCCCACCCUCCAUUGAGGACAUGCUGAAAAGAAAAGCUGGAGAUCUGAAGUGCAAAGUUACAGGAGAGUUGUCAGGGUUUACCAAAAUUGAAAUCAGAACGAAAGCAUCUGAAUUCCCCAUCAAAGAAUACCCAGAGGAACAAAUCGCAAACAAAAAGAAUCUGGAACUUGUUGCUCGUAUAGGUUAUGAUGAAUGGAGCAAUGGCACAACAUUUUUGUGCAUUGUGGAACACAAAACAUUAGCAGUGCCUCAAGAAAAGGAGUACUCCAGAGAAAAUGGUGGAGAGUUCAAGAGACCCUCUGUUUACAUAUUAGCACCCCCAGAGCACAGAGAUGGGGAAACCAUGACCCUGACAUGUUAUGUGAAGGACUUCUAUCCUAAGGAGGUGUUUGUGUCUUGGCUGGCUAAUGAUGAACCUGUGGGUGGCGGGUACAAACAAAACACUACCACCCCAAUGCAGAUCAAUAACCACUUUUCCAUCUACAGUCAGCUCACUUUUGAUUCUUCUCAUUGGAAAGAGGGUUUAGUUUACAGUUGUGUAGUGUACCAUGAAAGCGUUGAUGAAACAUUGCGAGUUUUAACUAGAUCUAUUGACAGUGAUACUGAUAAGUCCAGUAUAAUUAACGUGAGUCUGUGUACCGCUAUACCAUGCAAGGCAUAGACUGUUUUACGCAUGUGGUGUCUAUGUGUUAUGCAUGUUAAGUGUUCAACUUUUAUGUUUUAUUUUUGUUUUGUGUAAUAUUUUUUUUAAAGUUACAUGUCCAUAUUUGUAAUUGUGUUUGUCUUUAAUGUUUGUGGCCUUGUGCUUUUUAAACAUUGUCAUGCACAUCACAUUGAAGAAAAAAAGCUAAUAAAAAAAACUAAGCAUAUUUCCUGUGCAUUUAAUGUUAUCCUACCAUUUUAAGAAUCUCUGUUACAGUGUAUGUGAGCAUAAAGUGUCACAAAAACAUCAAACUACAAAUAACAUUUUAUUUUCAAAAUGAUCAAGCUCUUGCUUUGUUCUCUUAAAGUACACAAAAUUAAAAUGUAUCUUUCCUUAGAUCAUGAAUGAAGUCUAAAUAAAAAAAUCACAAAACUUUGGUUUUAAAAUAAAAAAAUAGAAUUAUGAUGAUGUACACCAAAGUAAGGCAUUUUCAAAGUACAUUUAAGGAAUAUACAGUAUAUGAACUAAUCGACACAUUUAAUUCAGAUGGCAAAUUAUACAUCAUUAGCUGACAAAAUAAUAGAAAUAAACAAAGCACUUUAAAUUGUUGCUUAAUAAAGGGAAAAAAAUAGUAUCAAUGUGUGUGCAUAUGGUCUUGUUUAUGUUUGUCAUUUGUGCCAAGCUGUUUGAUGUUAGAAUCAUCCAGACAUAUCAUACCCGGUUUCAUAGUUCGGCGAAUCCUACAGUGCACAUCGGUUCAUCUUUGGCAUGCCAAGACACAUUCCUGACUUUUUUGCCAAUUUAUUUAAGGUUGUCAGGGUCACCAAAUGUUUAUGUAGUUUUACAUUGUUUUUGAAUGUAGAAAACAUGAGAUUAAAAAGGGCAGAUGAGACUAAUACAAUUUCACUAAAUAUUAUUACUUUUAUAAAUAGAAUUGGAUCAAUCGGUUAACUUUUACUGCAUAUUCCUAUGUAUAUUCCUAUACUUUUACUGCACCUUUCCAGUCUAAUUAUAAAUAAGGAUGGACAAGAGGGAGAAAAACACUUUAGUUGUAAGGGAACAUGUUGUACUCUAACUCAUGGUUGUGUUGGAGAGUGGUGCUUUUAUUCUCUAGAUAAU